ACUCGCGGGUGCGUUCCUCCUCCCAUUAGCACCCGUUGAGUGUUCCCCUCUGGAGGUUUUGCCUAACGGCACUUCCAACGACUCAGCCGGAUCUUCCCAGAUCCGGCUUUUUU
rnacentral:sRNA from 1 species